rnacentral:rRNA from 1 species
UGGAUCAGAACGAACGCUGGCGGCAUGCUUAACACAUGCAAGUCGAACGGUAACGGGCCAGCAAGGGUGCCGACGAGUGGCGGAUGGGUGAGGAACACAUCUGAAUCUGCCCGGUCGUGGGGGAUAACGUAGGGAAACUUACGCUAAUACCGCAUACGACCGAGAGGUGAAAGCGGGGGAUCGCAAGACCUCGCGCGACAAGAUGAGCCGAUGUCGGAUUAGCUAGUUGGCGGGGUAAGAGCCCACCAAGGCGACGAUCCGUAGCUGGUCUGAGAGGAUGAUCAGCCACACUGGAAUUGAGACACGGUCCAGAAUCCUACGGGAGGCAUGCAGUGGG